rnacentral:rRNA from 1 species
CUACGGGCUGCUGCAGUGAGGAAUAUUGCACAAUGGGGGGAACCCUGAUGCAGCAACGCCGCGUGGAGGAUGACGCAUUUCGGUGUGUAAACUCCUUUUAUAUGUCAAGAAAAUGACGGUAGCAUAUGAAUAAGCACCGGCUAACUCCGUGCCAGCAGCCGCGGUGAAUACGGAGGGUGCAAGCGUUACUCGGAAUCACUGGGCGUAAAGGACGCGUAGGCGGGUUAGAAAGUCAGGUGUGAAAUCCUACAGCUUAACUGUAGAACUGCACUUGAAACUUCUAAUCUAGAGUAUGGGAGAGGGAGAUGGAAUUAGUGGUGUAGGAGUAAAAUCCGUAGAUAUCACUAGGAAUACCUAAAGCGAAGGCGAUCUCCUGGAACAUUACUGACGCUAAGGCGUGAAAGCGUGGGGAGCAAGCAGGAUUAGAUACCCGCGUAGUC